GUCAGCAACCCGUACUGAAGUAAAGGGGCUAUGGGCGGAGCGCAGGCUACGCGAAGUAAUGCCUCACCUUCAGCAUUAGUUGACCAGCCUAAGUCUUAAUUGACUACGUUUUUUGAGUCAUGACACCCUGUGGAUGCGUAGCUAGUCCCAGGCUCUGUCGUUAGUGGUUAAACAUCUUUAUCGGGUUAAGGAAGUGCCACUAACCUAGCAAGCUCUUAAAACCUUGGCGAAGCUAACUUUAC
rfam:Planktothrix serta PCC 8927 isolate BBR_PRJEB10992 genome assembly, scaffold: BBR_A_PL8927_scaffold42